GUUCCUUCGGGAAUGAGUACAGCGGCGAACGGGUGAGUAACACGUAGGUAACCUACCCCUAAGUCUGGGACAACCUGCCGAAAGGUGGGCUAAUACCGGAUAAGACCACAGCACUUACGGGUGUAGCGGUAAAAGGUGGCCUCUCCAUGGAAGCUAUCACUAAGGGAUGGGCCUGCGCACCAUUAGUUUGUUGGUGAGGUAACGGCUCACCAAGGCUACGAUGGUUAGCUGAUCUGAGAGGAUGAUCAGCCACACUGGAACUGAAACACGGUCCAGACUUCUACGGAAGGCAGCAGUGGGGAAUAUUGCGCAAUGAGGGAAACCUUGACGCAGCAACGCCGCGUGAGUGAUGACGGCCUUCGGGUUGUAAAGCUCUGCCGAAAGGGACGAAUCCAUCCCGGUCUAAUAUAUCGGGGUGCUGACGGUACCUUUAAAGGAAGCACCGGCUAACUCCGUGCCAGCAGCCGCGGUAAUACGGAGGGUGCAAGCGUUGUUCGGAACUACUGGGCGUAAAGCGCGUGUAGGCGGCCUUUUAUGUCGGGUGUGAAAUCCCUGGGCCCAACCCUGGACGUGCGCUCGAAACUGAAAGGCUUGAGUACGAGAGAGGGAGACGGAAUUCCCAGUGUAGAGGUGAAAUUCGUAGAUAUUGGGAAGAACACCGGUGGCGAAAGCGGUUUCCUGGCUCUGUACUGACGCUGAGACGCGAAAGCGUGGGGAGCAAACAGGAUUAGAUACCCUGGUAGUCCACGCCGUAAACGAUGGAUACUAGUUGCUGGGAGCUUUAUAACUUUCAGUGACGACGCUAACGCAUUAAGUAUCCCGCCUGGGGAGUACGGCCGCAAGGUUAAAACUCAAAGGAAUUGACGGG
rnacentral:rRNA from 1 species